rnacentral:rRNA from 1 species
MAYACGACUCUCGGCAACGGAUAUCUCGGCUCUCGCAUCGAUGAAGAACGUAGCGAAAUGCGAUACUUGGUGUGAAUUGCAGAAUCCCGUGAACCAUCKARUCUUUGAACGCAAGUUGCGCCCCAAGCCGUUAGGCCGAGGGCACGCCUGCCUGGGUGUCACSC